UAACAAGUAAUGUGUAUGUUAAGCUUUUGUUUCAGAAACUACAGAUAAAGGCCAUCCUGGCUCCUGAGAAAAGCAGCCAACCUCCUGGGGCACUGGCUAGAGAUUACCACCUGGGGACCUGUUGGAGGCAUCCGGGACUUUUGUCUUCCAGGGGAUGC